CGCGGGCGGUGGCCGGUGGGUGCGUCUCAAAGGCCAAAUCCAUGGCGGGCUCGCCGAGAUCUCCACCGCCGCCGCCGCCGCCGGAGUUCGAGAUCUCGCGGCAGUCCCGCAUCUUCGCGGCGCUGUCCAAGAAGGUGAUAGAUCUCGAUGAGCUGAGGAUGCUGGCGGCUCAGGGCGUCCCGGACGCGGCCGGAGUCCGGUCGACUGUGUGGAAGGAUGGCCUUAAUUUAAUCAGCCCUCUAUUAUGUAGGAGAUUUAAGUCUGUCAUUUUGCUUUGGAUGCUUAUGGUCGGUUGAAACUGAAACUGUCUACUCGUUUCUGUUCACCCUCGGUGACGAAGCAUUCUGAUUUCAUAGUGGAAAGGUUGCAGUCCAAGCUUUUGGUUUUGCCUUUUCAGUCACUGACACCGCAUGUUAUUGUUGUGCAGCUGCUACUGGGCUAUCUGCCCGACGACCGCUCGCUGUGGGAGCAGGAGCUGGCAAAGAAGAGAUCACAGUACGCAGCUUUCAAAGAUGAGUUUCUUAGCAACCCUGUAGGUAGAAACAGCGCGGCAAGUGGAAAAAGAAGGCAACAACAACGAUAAUGCAGAGCAUGUUGAGAAUGGGUUGCUCCACAGGUCAGAGGUAACCCAAGAGGAGCACCCUUUGAGCCUCGGGAAGACCAGUGUUUGGAAUAAUUUUUUUGAGUACACGGAGAUUAUGGAACAAAUUGACCGCGAUGUAAAGCGGACACACCCUGACAUGCAUUUCUUCUGUGGUGAUUCAUCUUUUGCAAAGUCCAAUCAGGAAUCUCUGAAAAAUGUACUGUUAAUCUUUGCCAAGCUGAAUGCUGGAAUAAGAUAUGUGCAAGGGAUGAAUGAAAUUCUGGCUCCACUCUUCUUUGUCUUUCGGAGUGAUCCAGAUGAUAAAAAUGCUGUAUGGAAAAUUUGCAGAAGCCGAUUCAUUCUUUUGCUUCGUUGAGUUGCUUAGUGGGUUUAGAGACAACUUCUGCCAGAAACUCGACAACAGUGCUGUUGGCAUUCGAGGUACACUUGCAAAAUUAUCACAACUUGUAGGAAAAUAUGAUGCAGAACUCCAGCACCAUUUGGAAAUAACGACAGAAGUUAAUCCCCAGUUCUAUGCAUUCAGAUGGAUAACGUUGCUGCUGACCCAGGAGUUCAACUUUGCCGAUACUAUUCAUAUAUGGGACACGCUAUUGAGCGAUCCUGACGGUCCCCAGGAAACCUUGCUCAGAAUAUGCUGCGCAAUGCUGAUCCUUGUCCGGAAGCGGCUCUUGGCCGGCGAUUUCACCUCGAACCUCAAGCUCCUGCAGAACUACCCCCCAACAAACAUCAGCCACCUCCUGUACGUCGCGAACAAGCUGCACUGAAGCGAGCUCUCGCGGCGGCGUGGAGCGCUGCUGUGCUAGCUUGUUCAGAGAAAACUUCCACUGAGCCGCAGAGCAGCAGCAGACUUGAACCAUUGUUUUAUGUAUCGUUAUGAUACCUGUCCAUUAAUCCGACAAGUUGCAUUCUAUGACCUGUAUAUGUUGACCUGACGAUGACGUACCCCGAGUAAUCAAGGUGGUGUAAUUAGCGCCUGGCUUAUCUGUUGCCCUUUUUAA